rnacentral:lncRNA from 1 species
UAUAUCUUCAUCUUCACAUAUAUAUAUACACACACAGAGGGCAUAUCUAUAUCCAGAAAAGCCCACUUGUAAUUUACAUUGGAACAGGCUACCGGAAAUGGAAGAAGACACAACAGAAUAGGGAAUGAUAGGCUUAUGAUAGUGGGGGUAAAUUGGGAAUUCUAAAAACACUAGCAUCUUGAUAAGAAAAGAAUAAUGAAGGCUAUUGAUAAUGGCUUUCUGAAGAUUAAGUUUCGAUACAGGAGGUUGAUGAUCGGAAGGAGGGGAAAUUACAACUAUGCCCUUCAUUCACCGAUGACAAUUGGAUUCGUUUAGAAGCUAUAAUGGCGGACAGAGGAUUCCAAUACUUCUCGAGAUGGGCAGACCAUUUCCUUCAUUCGAUUACUCUUU